rnacentral:rRNA from 1 species
AUUGAACGCUGGCGGCAGGCCUAACACAUGCAAGUCGAACGAGUGGCGGACGGGUGAGUAAUGUCUGGGAAACUGCCUGCUGGAGGGGGAUAACUACUGGAAACGGUAGCUAAUACCGCAUACCAUCAGAUGUGCCCAGGUGGGAUUGGCUUGUUGGUGGGGUAACGGCGCACCAAGGCGACGAUCCCUAGCUGGUCUGAGAGGAUGACCAGGCGCACUGGAACUGAGACACUGGCCAGACGCCUACGUGAGGCAGCAGGGGGGAAUAUUGCACGAUGGGCGAAAGCGUGAUGCAGCCAUGCCGCGUGUAUGAAGAAGGCCUUCGGGUUGUAAAGUACUUUCAGCGGGGAGGCGUUACCCGCAGAAGAAGCACCGGCUAACUCCGUGCCAGCAGCCGCGGUAAUUC